GAGGAAUUUAUGGACCGUGGCCACCCUCUUUUACAAAACUGCCCUCACUGCUUUCUCCCAUCGCAAAUAUACAACAAAGGGUACAAUCGUAACCUUACUUCGCAAUAGAAAACCAGUUUCGUUUCUCUUUCAUCUUCUGUCUCGAACUUCUCUCUUUUCGUUUGAAACACCUCCUCCAUUAAAGAGAUGUCUGAAACACCUCGACCUCCACCGAAGGCUACGGAAAAUUGAAGGCUUAACAUAAGAUUCAAUCCAGAAACCAUUGCGAUUGCUGUCUGUUUCUCAUUCUAUUGAAAUAUAAGACUUUAGCAUCACAGGUCACCUUUGCUCUUAGCAAGUUACCUUUGCGGGAGAAAUCAAAUCUUUUGCAUCCGAAGAUGAAUAUGCAGUGCAGAGGAUGCCUCUUAUUUUGAAUUUAUGAUUCGAGUCGUUGAUGUGGAUGAACCUGGGGUGGGCAAGGAAGUUUUUUUUUAUCUUUGUAAAUAUAGUAUUAAGUGCAUAUAAAAAUAUACAUUUUAUAUAAACAUGCACUAUUCAUUAAAAUAUUAUUAAAAGAAGAGGUUGAUUUUUUUGGAAUGGAAAUGGCAGGCGCAUCAGGCGUACAUGUUAUACUAGUUGGAGAUAGAGUUAGCUAUGUGUUUAUUUUACAACUUUCAAGGCAGAGAUUC